GAGCUGGAGGCGCGACCUGGCAGCGCAGUAGGCCCUUAACCUACCCAUUGCGGGUUCAAAUCCCGUCCAGCUCU
rnacentral:tRNA from 1 species